GCAAUUGCAAGGUGUUGUCACGAGAACUCGUCUGGUGUCGUAGCCACGACCGCAGCACAACAAAUCGCAUCCAUCGAUACCUUUCGAUGUUUUAUUGCAUGGUCUUCCGGCUGUACCAAUCGAACCUGGGAUUUUAAAAAGUGGGUCAAAGGAGCAAUAGUCCGACGAGUGUUCCAGGUAAACGAGAUCGUGAACUUGAGGUGGAUUGGUCUUGAGACUCUUCCGGUUGUCGUUGAGAUGAUCAGCUGUGAUGAGUGUAGUUCCAGAAGGAUCAGAGCUCACUUCUAAGGAAACAUCGUAUUUCUCCUUCAAGUAAGAACCAACUUCGCGGAAUUCCGGCAGAGUGGUCCAGCAAGUGCGAACGUUGCAAGCUCCCGAUACUCCGUGACAUUUGCAUUGAUGCCUCAUCAAUUUGUGAAGAGCCUACAUAGUAAAGUUCAUCAAAGCCCGAGAAUCUCGCAUCUUUCGCUCGCGGGCAUCGAUAAAUUGCCUAGCGAAAUUGCUUCCAUAGCGAACGUUAGUGGAACAUCCCCCCCAGGCGAAUUCACCUUGCUGGUCGUGGUGCUUGCCCAGUCUUGUCUUGUCGCAAGCGCAGUUGAGAAGAUCCCCACGGUUGCAAGCCCGAGAGAUGGAAUGGACGACUCCAGCCGAGCUGAUGGCGUACACAAAAGCCGCUUCCCGACUUCCAGCUAUUCCAAACACAAUCGAAAUUAGUCGGCGUUUUCAUUUGAGAAACUUGGCAAAAUCAAAACUUACAUUUCACGAGGGAUUUCCCAAAGACGGAGGCAUCCCUAUCGAUGGUGGAACAAUUCCAUCGGUGUUGACGGAAUUGAUACUGGCAUUCUUUGAUUCCGGUAGCAGCACCUUCGCCAACCUGGAUCAUGUGAUCCGGAUGCUUCUGGCAAAGCCGUCGUUGUUUGCGUUCCAUGCCGGGGAUGUGGUCGCAAUACAUUCUCGGAUUAGUUGCUGUGCCCAGUUGAAAUUUGCUCAGGAACCUUGUUGUUUUCAAAAGAAUAUUAUUUAUUAUUGGAAACAAAAGGGUUUUUUUUUUUGUUUGUGAUGGUACACGGCUAAUUGGUUUAUAAUAUCCGUGCCAAAGUUUGACCAAUAUGGUAGGACACUACUACGGGAUUUGGUUUAUUUUUUUCUUUCUAGCGGUACGCACUCUAACAAAGUAAUUAUCGAAGCCUUACAUCACAUUGGGCAAUCGAGCGUAUAGGAAACUGAGACACCCUUCAACCCGAGGAUUUACUUACUAAAAAUAAAAGGCAACCCUAGCAAAAUUGUUAUCGUUUCACGAGUAUAAAAUUGAGCUAAAUUCCGUUAUAAACGGCGGGCAUUAUUACAACUUCCCUAAACAUAAUCGGUAAUUUCAACUUACCACCAAGUGGAUGAAACGAAAUUAGGAAUGGUGAUGACAGCAAAGAACAAAACACUGAUCCAGUGGCAACGCAUUUUUUUUUUUUAAAUAGUUAACUCGAGAAAAGUAUCGGAGU